AAGCCUACGGGGGGCAGCAGUGAGGAAUAUUGGUCAAUGGCCGAGAGGCUGAACCAGCCAAGUCGCGUGAGGGAAGACGGCCCUACGGGUUGUAAACCUCUUUUGUCGGGGAGCAAAGCGAGCCACGUGUGGUUCAUUGAGAGUACCCGAAGAAAAAGCAUCGGCUAACUCCGUGCCAGCAGCCGCGGUAAUACGGAGGAUGCGAGCGUUAUCCGGAAUUACUGGGUGUAAAGGGAGCGUAGACGGCGAGGUAAGCCUGAAGUGGAAGCCCGCGGCCCAACCGCGGAACUGCUUUGGGAACUGUU
rnacentral:rRNA from 1 species